GUGCCAUUGCACUCUAGCCUGGGCGACAGAAUGAGACUCCAUCUAAAAAAAAUAAUAAGAUAAAAUAAAAGAUAGAUGAGUUCUCAAAAAUUCAACCAAACAAAACAACAGGCAGGUACUGGGUUGUAUAAACGAUAUCUCAAUUAUUUUUAUUUUAUUAUACUUUAUGAAAUACUGGUAUUUUGAGUUCAGUGGAAUGAACUCAUCAAAUGCUCACCUGGUACCCAAACGGGAAACCCAAGAUGCCUAGGUAUUAAAAGUUCUACUUCCAAAGGGGGCUAGAGAGAUAAGAAGGUUAAGCCAGAAGCUGAAAUGGUUAGGUAAGAAAGUUAGCUGUUGCUUUAUAGCUACAAAUAAAAUUAGGUGAGUUUAUUAAAAAGAUGUUGCUUUGUUGGGAAAGAUGUCUUGGAAAAAAGUGAACCUGAAAAAAAAAGAUUUGAAAUGAUCCUUGAGAAAACUUAUGUCUGCACAGAAGCCUGCAUGCCCACAGAUGUUUACAGCAGCUUUAUUCGUAAUUGUCAAAACUUGGAACAACUAAGAUACCCUUAAGUAGGUGAAUAUAGAUAAGCAAACUGUGAUCCAUCCCAACUAUGGACUAUUAUUAAGUACUAAAAAGAAAUGAGCUAUCAUAACCAUGAAAAGAUGUGGAGGAACCUUGAAUGCAUAUGUCUAAGUGAAAGAUGGCAAUCUGGAAGACUGCAUACUUUAUGAUUCCAACUGUAUGAUAGUCUGGAAGAGGCAAGUCUGUGAGACCAUAAAAAGGUCAGGGGUUGGGGGUUGGCAAAGAGGCAUGACUAGGUGGAGCACAGAGGAUUUUUAAGGCAGCGAAACCACUUUGUAUGAUACCAUAAUGGGUGGAUACAUGUCACCGUACAUUUGUCCAAACCCCUAGAAUGAACACCAAGAGUGAACCCUAACAUACGCUUUAAACUUUGGGUGUAACAAAUGUAUAGGUUGUUGCAAAAGUAAUUAAUUGUGGUUUUUGCCAUCAACCUAUACCACUUUAGUGGGGAGGUUGAUAAUGGGGUAGGCUAUGCCUAUGUGGGGACAGGGGGAUAUAGGAAAUCUCUUUAUCUUCCUCCCCAUUCUGCGAACCUAAAAUGAUCUAAAAAAAAAAA